GGGCGAAUACCAGAGUGGUCAAAUGGGGCAGACUGUAAAUCUGCUGGCUUAUGCCUUCGGUGGUUCGAAUCCAUCUUCGCCCA
rnacentral:tRNA from 2 species